UGAUUCUAUUUUCUGAAAUCCUGAAUGGAACAGAUUUUCAAAGUGGGAGACAAAGACAUCUUCCAGGCUGACGCUGUAUGGCCUGUAGUGGGGAUCAGGGAACAGCUUUACAAGAGGGGCCUGGAGGAGGGAUUUGUUUGAAUCUUCCCAGCCUGAUGCUACAUCUUCCUCUACCUCCUGAUACCAGGUGGAAUAAGGUGCAUGUAAGGCAAAGUCUGCAGAAUCAGACUCUUAUUCAGAUCUUCUGCUGUAACUGCCUGGUUAGGUUAGAUGGGGACAUUCACAGGUCAACAGCCGUCUGAUCAGGAGGAAGGAACAGCGAGAGCAAUGGAAAAGAUCUUAAUUGUUACACUACUGCCUAAG